UCUCUACCACAUCUUGUUGUUGCCCUCAGACACAGGACACCCAAAGGGAGUUAUGAGUGCACAGUGUCUGGGCUCCGCUGGCUGUGUGAGAGAGAUGUCAUUCUGAAGUAUCACUUCAGGAACUGGGGACCCUACAGUCAACUUCUGAAAGACAUGCAGUACACACAAGGUGGUCCAUUGCUGGACAUCACUAUGGAGUUCGGUGAACUGGAGGAAGUUCAUCUGCCACACUUUGUCUGUUUAGGGACCAACCCUUCCCUGAGGAAUGAGAUGAAGAUUCUUCAUGUAGAGGAACAUGGAGUGUCUUUAGAGGAAGUGCGUGAGGUCACCAGAUUCCAUGCUAAGAUUCUCCAUCCCAAGUUCUCAGCUAUCGCUCUGAUACUGAGAUUACUGUCUUGGAACGUAGAUGUCCACUGUGAGCUGAUGCUCUAUCUGUCAGUGAUGAAGGAAACACUAAUUCCACGCCUAUACCUGUUCCCCAGUGACCCCGGCCAAAUACUGGCUGUGGAACAACAGGAAUCAAAGUUUCAAGGGUCUAAAAGGAUUCCCAUCACAAGACCAGAGCGGUCCUUCAAACUGAAUAGUUACUUCAGACUGAACAUUCCCAGUUCUACUGCCAUCAAUCCACCGAGGAUUCAUCUCAUACAAAGAGACACCACACCAAGCUUUUUCAAGGCGAUUGUGAAAAUAACAGGGAUUGACAUUGAGAUGGAGUUAUUCAGUGAUGAUGAGAGGACAGUAUGGAAAGAAAUUGUAUCAAGAGAUGAAUACUAUCAGAACCAAGCAUUAACACUCUCUGGGAUUCCUGCUGAGGAGUUUCUGAAGAAACACAGGGCUAUACUCAUUCAGGGAGUCAAAAACACAAUGCCAAUAGCAGAUGAUCUGUUGUCAAAGAGCAUGAUUGGUGAUGAAGAGUACUCCAGAAUAAAAGCUGAAACAACUGAACAGGAGCGAAUGAGAGAACUACUGAACGCAGUCCUCCCUAAAGGACCAGAAGUGAUGGGAGCUUGUCUCAAAGCUCUCAGGGAACAUGAACACCAUCUUGUUAAGUACUUGAGUGAAUCUAGGUAAGACCGGUUUCUUUUCUCCCUCCCUUGAAUAUGUGGAAUGAUUAAAUAUAGGUCAAAUAAAAACAUAGCUACCCAGAUCAAAGAGUCUUUUUCAGAAUGGAACCAUGUUUUUGUGUUGCUGCCUGUAAUAAAUUACUCUUAUCAUAGGGCCAUUAUCACAUAAUUACCUCAGGUGUAUCAUAGGACCAUCAUCACAUCAUUAUCUCAGGUGUAUCAUAGGACCAUCAUCACAUCAUUAUCUCAGGUUUAUCCUAGGACCAUCAUCACAUCAUUAUCACAGGUUUAUCAUAGGACCAUCAUCACAUCAUUAUCUCAGGUGUAUCAGGACCAUCAUCACAUCAUUAUCUCAGGUGUAUCAUAGGACCAUCAUCACAUCAUUAUCUCAGGUGUAUCAUAGGACCAUCAUC